CGUCCGGAAUUACUUGUCAUCAAAAUGGAUGUGUCUAGAACUAAAAUACAUCUAGAUACAUCCAUUUCAAUGACAAGUAUUUUCGGACGGAGGGAGUACAAG
rnacentral:pre_miRNA from 1 species